GACGAACGCUGGCGGCGUGCUUAACACAUGCAAGUCGAACGGAAAGGCCCUGCUUUUGUGGGGUGCUCGAGUGGCGAACGGGUGAGUAACACGUGAGUAACCUGCCCUUGACUUUGGGAUAACUUCAGGAAACUGGGGCUAAUACCGGAUAGGAGCUCCUGCUGCAUGGUGGGGGUUGGAAAGUUUCGGCGGUUGGGGAUGGACUCGCGGCUUAUCAGCUUGUUGGUGGGGUAGUGGCUUACCAAGGCUUUGACGGGUAGCCGGCCUGAGAGGGUGACCGGCCACAUUGGGACUGAGGUACGGACCAGACUCCUACGGGAGGCAGCAGUGGGGAGUAUUGCACAAUGGGCGGAAGCCUGAUGCAGCAACGCCGCGUGCGGGAUGACGGCCUUCGGGUUGUAAACCGCUUUCGCCUGUGACGAAGCGUGAGUGACGGUAAUGGGUAAAGAAGCACCGGCUAACUACGUG
rnacentral:rRNA from 1 species